rnacentral:ncRNA from 1 species
AAAAAGUUUGAUCCUGGCUUAGAUUUUACUAUUAAAUCAAUAUACAUGUAAGUAUGUGCUAGAAUAUUUUUGUAUAAAGUAAAAUAUGGGGUUCUCAGUAUAUUUAAUUAGAUUAUAAAUUAAUUUUUAACUAGUGAUUUUAAUAAUUCAAGCUAAAUUUGUGCCAGCAGCUGCGGUUAGACUGAUAGAAUAAGUAAAAUGUAGUAGAGUAUUAUGGUUAUAAUAUAUUAAUUGAUUUAUUUUAUUAAAAUAAUAAAAAGUAAAAUUUAGUUUUAGUAGAUAAUAAAAUUUAUUUAUUAUUAAGAUUGAAGCCAUUAAAAUUUAGGUAUAAACUAGGAUUAGAUACCCUAUUAUACUUUAUUUAAAAUAUUUAUGUUUGAGUAGUAAUUAGAUAUGUUCUUGAAACUUAAAGGAUUUGGCGGUAUUUUAGUCUUGUUAGAGGAACCUGUUCUUUAAAUGAUAAACCUCGAAGUAUCUUACUUUAUUAAGUUUUCAGUUUGUAUAUCGCCAUUAGUAGAUAGUUUUUAUGGGAGGUUAUUAAAAUAAUAAAUGUAUUAGUAUAUUAGGUCAAGGUGCAGCUAAUAAUAAAGAAAGUAAUGGGUUACAAUAAAUUAAGUUUAUACGGAUAUAAAUUGAAUAUUUUUAUGAAGGAGGAUUUAAUAGUAAUUUUUUUUUAAUAUGUAAAAUUGAUAUAAGCUCUAAAAUAUGUACAUAUCGCCCGUCGCUCUCAUUUUAACGUGAGAUAAGUCGUAACAUAGUGGAUGUAUUGGAAAAUGUAUCUAGAAAUAU